UAUGGCUUCCUCGCCACCUACCAUCACCGGCACGGCCAUGAGCACUAGCUGUAGCGGUGCCCUUCGCGCAGCCACCACCAAAGCGCUGCUACUCCUCGUCGUCGCCGUCUUCGUAGUCUCGCUCUCGCGUCCAUUUCCGUGCGCGGCGGCGGCGCGCGACAGUCUACUCCGGGGCGCCUCCAUCGCCGUCGAGGACCACGCCACCGACGUCCUGCUCUCCCCGGACGGCACCUUCGCCUGCGGCUUCUACGUCGUCUCGCCCACCGUCUUCACCUUCUCCGUCUGGUUCGCGCGCGCCGCCGACCGCGCCGUCGUCUGGUCCGCCAACCGCGGCCGCCCCGUCCACAGCAAGCGCUCCCGUCUCAAACUCAACGGCCGCCGCCGCGCGCUCGUCCUCACCGACUACGACGGCGAGGUGGUCUGGAACUCCACCGUCAGCGCCAACGCCACCGCCACCGCCACAGCUGCGCGCGCUCGGCUGCACGAUUCCGGCAACCUCGCCGUCGAGGACGCGAGCGGGAACGUCCUAUGGCAGAGCUUCGACCACCCCACCGACACACUACUGCCUACGCAGCGCAUCGCCGCCGGCGAGGCGAUGGUCUCGGCAGACAAGCUCCUCGCCGCGGGCUUCUACAGCUUCCGCUUCAGCGACUACGCCAUGCUGUCGCUGGUGUACGACAACCAUGAGAUGUCCAGCAUCUACUGGCCCAACCCCUACUACAGCUACUGGCAGAACAGUCGCAAGAUCUACAACUUCACCCGGGAAGCUUUCUUCGACGCCUCUGGCCAUUUCUCGUCCAGCGACAACGCCACCUUCGACGCCUCCGAUCUGGCCAAGAAUGUCGCCGUUAGGAGGAGGCUGACGCUGGACACAGAUGGUAACCUCAGGCUGUACAGCCUUGACGAGGUCACCGGGACAUGGUCGGUGUCGUGGAUGGCGUUCAGCAACCCGUGCAUCAUCCACGGUGUGUGCGGCGCCAACGCCGUGUGCCUCUACUCGCCGGCGCCGGUGUGCGUCUGCGCGCCAGGGUACGGGCGCGCCGAACCGAGCGACUGGAGCAGAGGCUGCCGGCCGACGUUCAACUCCAGUGACGACGGCGGCCAGCCGCGGGCGAUGAAGAUGGUGCCGCUGCCGCACACCGACUUCUGGGGCUUCGACAUCAACAGCAGCGAGAACCUGUCGCUGGACGAGUGCUCGACACGGUGCAUGAGCGAGCCGUCGUGCGUGGUUUUCCAGUACAAGCAGGGCAAAGGUGAGUGCUACCCAAAAAGCCUCAUGUUCAAUGGCAGAACGUUCCCCGGCCUGCCUGGGACGGCCUAUCUCAAGGUCCCGGCUGAUCUUGACAUGCUAGAAAUACACAUCCACCAAUGGCAAGCAGACAGCGAUGGUCACGGCAUUGCCGCCAUUCAGGAAGACAUCGUCGGAUGCGGUGGCAUGAGCUCACCGGAGUUCUUGCUCAAUGUCUCGAAUGCGUCAUCGAGCAAAAGUAAUCAGGGCAAGUCGAUAUGGUUCUACUUCUACGGAUUUCUGACUGCAUUUUUUGUCAUUGAAGUGUUUGUGAUAGCAUUCGGUUGCUGGCUCUUUUCCAACAAGGGAGUUUUUAAGCCAUGUCAGGUUUCAGCACUAGAUGAAGGGUACAGGAUGGUUACCAACCAUUUUCGCACAUAUAGCUACGCAGAGCUACAGAAGGGAACUAGAAAGUUUCAGAGUGAGAUCGGCCGUGGUGGGUCAAGGUGCUACAAGAUGUGAAGCAAAGUGAGGAUGUGUUCCAGGCUGAGUUGAGUGUUAUUGGUAGAAUUUAUCAUAUGAAUCUUGUUAGAAUGUGGGGUUUUUGCUUAGAAGGAAUACAUAGGAUUUUAGUCUAUGAAUACAUUGAGAAUGGAUCAUUGGCCAAAGUACUAUUUCAAGGGAGGAAUUCCGGUAUGUUUCUUGGAUGGAAGCAAAGGUUCAACAUUGUUCUAGGUGUUGCCAAGGGGCUAGCAUAUCUUCACAAUGAGUGCCUUGAGUGGAUCAUCCAUUGCGACAUGAAGCCGGAGAACAUACUAUUAGAUGAAGAUAUGGAGCCUAAGAUCACUGACUUUGGCUUGUCCAAGUUGUUGAAUAGAGACGGGUCUGGUCCUGACAUGUCACGGAUUCGGGGGACAAGAGGAUAUAUGGCUCCUGAGUGGGUUUCUAGCCUUCCAAUCACAGAGAAAGUUGAUGUGUACAGUUACGGAGUGGUGCUUCUUGAACUGGUGAAAGGGAUGAGGAUUUUAGACUGGGUGUUGGAUGGGAAAGAGGGACUAGAAGCCGACGUGAGAAGUGUGGUUAAGAUGGUUGUCAGCAAACUUGAGAGCAACAUGGAAUCCUGGGUUGCGGAUUUGAUGGAUGAUCGGUUGCAUGGUGAAUUUAAUCAUUUGCAGGCUAGGCUACUAAUGCAAUUGGCCGUUUCAUGCUUGGAAGAAGAUAAAAACAAAAGGCCAACCAUGAAGUACAUAGUACAAAUGCUCAUUUCCGCUGAAGAUGAAGCUCAUGCCUUCACCUAAUUCUGAUGGUUCUAACACAAGUAUUUGAGAUUUAAUAUGAAGUUCACUCUUUAUCUAUUUCACCCUUUCUGUAAAAAUUAUGCAAAUUCAUUAGCACUCUACUUUAUUAGUUGGAAGAUUGUAAGAGAGUGCAGGUUCUUAA